ACUUGCUAGAUCGCCAAUCCCAGCCAUGCCCCGAUUUUGAGUGUACACUACUAACUGUUUAAUUAUUUCUAGAUCAUAGACGUCAAGCACAUUGAUAACACAAACUAUAAACAAGAUUUGAUGAGAAGUCAUAUUUUUAAGAAAAUGGACAAGGGCCAUACAGUCAACAAGGUUCCUUGUUUGCUAACCCGUUGGCUGCUACCCUUCAAUCUCCCUGUUUACUUCCUUACACAGGUCCUAUUGAUUUGAGGGUAACUCUUUCACUACUGAUGACAUCAACUGUUGUAAACUGACAAGAGAAUGCUGCAAUUCAAGACUGAUACGUUGUGUAGUUGUUAGAUUAUAAAUGACAAGUGCAUAUCUGGGCUCCCUUCUUUUCUGUGGCCCCGUUUCCCUAACUAACCACUAACCAACGCCCGCCGG